CUACGGGUCGCACCAGUUAAGAAUCUUCUGCAAUGCGCGAGAGCGUGACAGAGCGAGCCAGAGUGCUUUUCAAAUUGAAAAGCUUUUGCCAGAUCUAAAAAGUCUGGAGAAUAAGGACUGGGUAAGACGAGUGCCAGCCGCCGCGGUAAUACUCGCGGUCCAAAUCGCAGCCAUUUUUAUUGGGUCUAAAACAUCCGUAGCUUGCUUGGUAAGUUUCCUGUGAAAUCCUAUGUCUUAAACAUAGGGCGUGCGGGAAAUACUGCCUCGCUAGAGACCGGAAGACGUAGGAAGUACGUUCGAAGUAGCGGUAAAAUGUUUUAAUCUCGAGCGGUCUCACAACAGCGAAGGCAUCCUACGAGGACAGUUCUGACAGUAAGGGAUGAAGGCUAGGGGCGCAAAACGGAUUAGAUACCCGCGUAGUC
rnacentral:rRNA from 1 species